rnacentral:tRNA from 1 species
GGCCCCGUAGCUCAGCAGGAUAGAGCGCAGGAUUCCUAAUCCUGAGGCCACUGGUUCGAAUCCAGUCGGGGUCA